ACGCUCGACACCUACGGAGGCAGCAGUCGGGAAUAUUGCGCAAUGGAGGAAACUCUGACGCAGUGACGCCGCGUGCAGGAAGAAGGUUUUCGGAUUGUAAACUGCUUUAGACAGGGAAGAAAAAAGACAGUACCUGUAGAAUAAGCUCCGGCUAACUACGUGCCAGUAGCCGCGGUAAUCUGAGCGGGCGUGGCAAGGC
rnacentral:rRNA from 1 species